UGAUUGGAACUUAGGUACUGAAUAUUUAAUUAUUAUAUUUUCAUUCCUUUGUUAAUUACGAUUAUGAACUUUCGAACCCCCUCUUCGAAAAUCCUGCAGACGCCACUGCCUUGCCGCAUGUCCGCCCUCCACUACUCCGGUCUCUAGCCACCGCACUCCAAGCAAACUCUUCUUCUUUUGGUGACCUUAGACGAAGAAUUGUCGAGAAUAUUACCUUUUUGCAUUUUCAGCAACGUAUGGAGAACUAGCAUCAAAAAUCAACUCUUUUCUUCCUACGGUGCCUAAAUUAGAUUUGCUUUAACCACCUUAAGUGUGCAACCACCUUAAGUGUGCUGGGUUAAUUUAUAAUUGAGCAAGUCAAGAUCAAGGCAACAACAAAUCAGUUUGAGGUGGAUGCAGACUAAAGGGGGAAAGAAACAUCAUACAUGGACAGCAUUGACUGCCACACAUAACCAACCUUUUGUUUUUUGUAAUGGUGUGGGACUCGUGUUACUUUACCUCGUUGGUUAGGUGUAUAUGCUUUAGUUUAUAGAACCUUUUGGCUAGGGCAGUUAUGUUGUUACAUCUUUUGUAAAGGGACUCGUAUUUGAAACUAAAAAUUAAUUUCAAUGAAGUCCAGAUAUUAAAAAAGUACUCUGAACUUUAAAUCCAUCAAAAGGGUAUUUAUUUGUCAUAAAACAUCAACGAACAUGUUACCUCACAGUCCGUGAUUAACACAAUAACUAGAGCAAUACACGUUUGGAAAAGUUUUAUAAACUGAGUCCCUUCAUCAUUUGGAUUUUGUAAUUGAAUUAACAUAGGGGACUGAUUG